UGCUUAUGGUAAAAAUGACCCCUGACUGGCAAAUUGCAUCUAGACUGACAAGAAGUAUGAGUGAGCUACAAAUAUCUGAUGAGGGUGCCAUGCUUUGGACUUGCCUGAAUGUAGUCCUUUGCAAGGAACCCUAGAAACUAUGCCAAGGAAUUGCUACAGAAGAUGCUGGCUGCUUAGGACAUGAGGCUUCUUCUCAGAGUAGCUCCUGCACCUCCUUGAUUGUGGAUCUCAAGCUUUGCACCUGGAACUGUGUCACAUGGAAAGACAAGAGUCACUUGCUUCAACUGUUGCAGGAUUCCUGCUGAGAGAAACUUCUUCUGAUGCUGCCCUGCUGGCAAGCUGGCAAGAAUUGUGGCUUGUGGUAGGAUUGUCACCUCAUUGUUGUAAAGGCAUGCAUGUUUCAGCAACUUCAUGUGAGAAUUCAACCAAAGCCUAAAAUAGACUGAGAGGAGAAGUUUCCAGGUUUUACUACAACACAAAGUGGAAUCCUAUGGAUAUUUCAGGUUACAGUGGGUCUGUCACACAGUGCAUACUGUGCAGCAACUUCAGCUCUUAGGAUUGUUAACAACAAUGAGGUUUUGAUCUGUCUUUCCAACCGAUGAGUGAUUAGAAGCUGAAAAUUCAGAGGAAAGGCUUUGUGCCCAGGAAACAAGUAGGAGGGAGAGAGAAGGUGGAAAAAAUAAAGAAAAGAGACAGACACCUUGGGAAUACAAAGAAUAUACCAAAGGGCCCUUCCCAUCUCAAAUGAGUAAUCACAGCACACUGUAAGAAUGGGUUAUAAGAUGAACCUAAUCACCCAGAAAAGGUUAAUCUGUGCUCUGUAUGCUCUGUUUUAGUAAGUAGGGAAAUAAGAAAUGGAUUUUAGAGAGGGACUAAGAGAAAGAGUUCAAACAAAAAGUUGUGUUGCAAGAGCUUCUAUGAUUUAGAAGAUUCACUUAAUGUGGGGAAAAAACCUCAUUCACCAUCAUGAUGGAUAAAACAUGCAACAGAGUCCAUGUCUCUUUACAGAAGAGACAUGCUUCGGUGAUCAACACAGGCUUUCACCAAGGCUUUUUCACCUGGGAAAAGGUCAACUUUUCAAAAGAAAAAUCAUCUUUGAUUUACAGCGGAAAACUAAAUGCAGGAACGAAACAGGAGGCUGGGAUCACUCACUGGCGUUGGAUUCUGCUCGCACCUGCAGACGCAGGUGCAGUCCAUCUCCAGGGACAUACCGCAGCCCACCACAGGAGGACGGCACAAGCCUGACCUCUGCUGGAAGCUGGAGCUCUGUGCAGCCUUCUGGGGUCUUCACCUGGAGUGAGGAUGGCGUUAUAGAAAUAUCCAUGGACACACCUCCUUCUUUAGGCUCCCUGGUAAUUAAAAACAAAACAUAAAAAAUUACUUCUCCUUGAUGGAAACCAAGUGAUAAAACAGAGAAAAAAGGCCAAGGACCUAACUGUUCCUCUUCAAUAAAUGUUCUAAAGUUACUGUCCUAAAAAAAAAGUGAAUGAAUCAUAAAGGAAAUCAUCCUAUACUAAAUUUAGAUCAGGUCAGAGAGUACUUUUCCCUGUCACUGUAACAUGAAAGUUCUAGAACAUAAUUUUAUUCUUGCCUUUUUUAAUGGUAAUUUAAAUGUGAGUUUCCCUCGUUGCUAAUAAUGAUCUUGAGCCUCAGUUCUCUAUCCUUUUUUUAUUUAUUUUAUUUUUUCCCCAGUUCUCUAUCCUAACGCAUCCUGCAGCUACUCCAACCUGGACCUACCUGGGGUUGCUCUCAGAGUCAUUCUGCUCACAUAGACCACCUCUCAUUUCCUAACGCCCCCUAUUUUCUCCCACAAGUUUCCCCACAAGGUUUCU